GCGCCCUUAGUGUAAUGGAUAGCACAUGAGAUUUCGGUCCUCAUGAUCUCGGUUCGAUUCCGAGGGGGCGCA
rfam:Lactobacillus lindneri DSM 20690 = JCM 11027 strain DSM 20690 NODE_50, whole genome shotgun sequence.